rnacentral:rRNA from 1 species
UACGAAGGGGGCUAGCGUUGUUCGGAAUCACUGGGCGUAAAGCGCACGUAGCCGGACCGAUAAGUUGGGGGUGAAAGCCCAGGGCUCAACCAUGGAAAUGCCUCCAAUACUGUCGGUCUCGAGUUCGGGAGAGGUGAGUGGAAUUCCUAGUGUAGAGGUGAAAUUCGUAGAUAUUAGGAAGAACACCAGUGGCGAAGGCGGCUCACUGGCCCGAUACUGACGCUGAGGUGCGAAAGCGUGGGGAGCAAACAGG